AGCAGGUGCAGGAUGCAGGUUCAGCGUUGGGCUUCUUUAUCCCGCAGUAAGUGGACGGGACAGCUGAGCUCUCGUACCCGUGGGGAGGUGGGGGCAGGGCUGAGACGCACCCCUCCGCCAGCUGAGCUCAUUAGCAUCGCUACACACAACACAAACCUGCACUUGAAAGCAGCGAUCAUGUUUAGAAGGGAUGGAAUCAAUCAUUGUCUAAUCAAUAAGGAAGGACAGGCGAGAUAUUGACCAGCCUCCACACCUGACAGCUGGAGGAACCAAGACCCUCUACGCGGCCGAUCACAUUGCAGAGUAAAUGGGUGGGGCUUACGUGUAGCUCCUCCUCCUCGCUAGAGCUCCAGCGUGAAGAAGCGAAUUUAAUUUGGGCCUAAUGAGUGGAGCUAGAGUAUCCAACCACACCCUAACCCUACCCACAAAUCUAUUGCUCCACCCCCUGCAGGCUACAGGGCUGUUCUCCUGGAGUGUAUGCAGAGGAGCGGUCUGAUUUCAUCUUGGGUAUUUGGAGAUUUUGAGCCGAUGAAGAUCUCCUCAGCUGGAGAAACGGAGACCCCUAGUGGCUGAGCUGAUCCAUGCUGCUGGAUCGUCCCUUUCCCAGCAACCCCACACUGUUCAGCCCCAUGGCAGAGAAGAACCGCCGCAGGGAGAGUUUGGGUCGACCCUCCCGAUGCUCCGCAUCCAUCCCCGCUCUAAAAAACAAAAACGUACGUGUCAGAACACAUUUUCAAGUAGCAUCACACAAGAUGGAAAACUGUUGAAGGGGGUGGAAAAAGACUGAUCGUACAAGCAACUGGCCCACUGUGGGAUUACUCAGCUAGGACAGUAUGGAUCUGCUGAUCUGGACAAUCCCCAACGGGACAGGAACACAGUGAAGAGAAGCGCACACACCCAAAGAAUAUUGAAUCCUUCGAGCCAUGUCCCGUCUCCGCCUUUCCAUUGAUGUAAGACGACAAGCUGGGUUUGGACACCAGCAGGCCCUGU